rnacentral:rRNA from 1 species
AUUGAACGCUGGCGGCAGGCCUAACACAUGCAAGUCGAGCGAGCGGCGGACGGGUGAGUAAUGUAUGGGAAACCGCCUGAUGGAGGGGGAUAACUACUGGAAAAGGUAGCUAAAACCGCAUACCAUCAGAUGUGCCAAGAUGGGAGUAGCUAGUAGGUGGGGGAACGGCCCACCUAGGCGACGAUCCCUAGCUGGUCUGAGAGGAUGACACGCCACACUUGAACUGAGACACGGUCCAGACUCCUACGUGAGGCAGCAGUAGGGAAUAUUGCACAAUGGUCGCAAGCCUGAUGCAGCCAUGCCGCGUGUGUGAAGAAGGCCUUCGGGUUGUAAAGCACUUUCAGCGGGGAGGCGUUACCCGCAGAAGAAGCACCGGCUAACUCCGUGCCAGCAGCCGCGGUAAUAC